rnacentral:rRNA from 1 species
AUGAAUCAUUCCUCCAAGUUUGCACCUAAGGCACAUGAAAGUUUUCUUCUUGGUUAUGGAUCAAACUCGCAUAUGUAUCGUGUCUAUAACUCUCACCACAUGAAAGUUAUGGAAACGGUAAAUGUGCGGUUUGAUGAAUCUAAUGGCUCACAAAAGGCGCACCUGCCAAAUGCGAUAGAAGAACUAUUGAUAUCGGAUGCUAUUCGACAGAUGGCCAUUGGGAGCAUCAAGCAUGUUGAAGGAAAUGCACCUGAGUCCUCUGAUGAUGAUGGUCCUAUGACUCAAAGCAGAACUCGUCAAGCCACUACUGAAGCAAAAGAUCCUCCAAAUGGAAAUGGAAAUCCAAAUCCAAAUCCUGAUCAAAAUGGAAAUCCCGAAGAGAAUGAUGAUACAGAUGCUGAUGCUGAUUAG